rnacentral:rRNA from 1 species
AACGAACGCUGGCGGUAUGCUUAACACAUGCAAGUCGAACGAACAAAAUUGGGGCUUGCUCCAAUUUUAGUGAGUGGCAAACGGGUGAGUAACACGUGGGAAUCUACCUAUCAGUACGGAAUAACAUUUGGAAACAGAUGCUAAUACCGUAUAUUCUCCAAGGAGGAAAGAUUUAUCGCUGAUAGAUGAGCCCGCGUAAGAUUAGGUAGUUGGUAGGGUAAUGGCCUACCAAGCCGACGAUCUUUAGCUGGUCUGAGAGGAUGAUCAGCCGCACUGGGACUGAGACACGGCCCAGACUCCUACGGGAGGCAGCAGUGGGGAAUAUUGGACAAUGGGCGAACGCCUGAUCCAGCAAUACCGCGUGAAUGAUGAAGGCCUUAGGGUUGUAAAGUUCUUUUAGUUGGAAAGAUAAUGACGGUACCAACAGAAAAAGCCCCGGCUAACUCCGUGCCAGCCGCCGCCGUAA